UUUCUGAAACGAAGAAGAAGAGUUUCUAGGUUUUAGUUGUUAAUCUCGAUUUAGCUUCACUAACGACAAAAUAAAAUGUAAUCGAGCUAAGCGAGUAUUUUCCUCUGCACCAAUUACUAAGCGAUAUAGUUUAAUAUCUCUUAAGACAGCUGAUGGGAUCAACAUUUUGAUUCAAGGCCUUAUCUCGUUCUCAGGGAAAUGGGUUUUCUCCAGAGGUUUGCAGUCGUUUCAUUGUGGGGUUUCCAUUUGGCUGGGAGGAUGUUGCUGAUCAAUGCUUGGACCAACAUCUGCU